AGCCUUAUAUUCAAUAAUGAUAUAAAAUUGCAAAUUUUAAGGGGUAAAAGUUACUAAGGCUU
rnacentral:tRNA from 1 species